CGGCCGCGCCUUGUAAGCGCUAAGCCGGGAGGAGGGCGCAGGCAGGGCGCACAGCUCUGAGCGCGACCCUACCCGGCUCGGGCCCGCAGCAGCCCCGAUUGUCCGAGAGCCUCUCCGAAAGCAAGGCUCUGCGCCGCCCUCUGAGCCCACCUCCUGGCCACAACGCUGCCUGCGCUUCUCCAGCCCAGGCCGGAAGCCCUAUGCUGCCUCCAGAAGCCGGACUUUCUGGAAGCCCAUCUUCGUAUGCUCACCAGCCCACCCUCCUACGCUGGUCAGAGUGAGAUUGCUAAUCUCAAGACCCCAUUCAAUGCCAGCUUUCAACUACUGCUGAAGACCAAUGUAGGUCCUGGAAUAGAAGAACUGCAGAGUAUCCCUAAGGUCUCCUCUUCAUCUGGCAUGUGUGUUCACAGAAGGUACAGUGUGUGAGAACACACUUAGGAAAUUUUAGGAACGCUAACCACAGUACUGGAGGAAUAAAGAUGUGGCGAAGGAAUGGAUGGAAUGCAUGAACACAUACACCUUGUUGUCCAGAUGCAGACAAAAGCUACCAUGUCCGCUUGGAGUGACGCCCAGACACGCACAGAGAUGUACAGGAAGCCAAGGAGAGUGGGAUUCACCAGAGUACAGUACAAGUACAGAGUACAGUGCAAGAUGCCCAGUGGCCCUGGAGAAAAACCUUCGUUGACUCUUCUGUAUGGAAAGUUUCUGAAGAAAGGGCCAAGGAAUGAUCUGCCUCAGAGGCUGCCUUUAGGCUCCCAUACCUGCUCUGUUUGGAGACACCCAGAAGAGGCCAGUACAGCAAAGACUCUUUUUGGUUUGGUUAUUUCUGUUGCUUGUUGUCUUUUUUUCAUCCUUUGCCUGGGAAAUUGUGCUCUGGAAUAGGGCUUGAGUAGACAGCACAGGCCUCCAGUAGAUAACAAGAGAUUUUCAAUCUCCAAUGAAGACAUUCCGUUCUAAGGAAGCUUCCAGAUAGGGGAAAGCCCUGUUUUGUCCCCCUUUUCUCCUCUGAGAUCUGAAAAAAUAGAAAGAAAAAAAAAAGAAAAACAAAACAAAUAUAAAAACUAUAGCCCAAUCCCAUGUACAUCAAAUAAAUCCACAAGGAAUAUGCUAGACCAAGUUAAAUUAUGUAUUUAACUCAUUUUCUUUUGUGAGAUACUGAGAAGUCUUCAACUUCCUCUAUUCCAGGCAGGGAUCGAGGACCUGGCCUGGCAGAGGUUCCACCACCAGGGUUUCCCACAGUGGUUCUGGGACUAGGCGGAAGGUGUCCUGACUUGUUUUCUCUGUCACCUCUUCUGGGGAACUGGGGAACUGUCCCAGACAAUGGCUGCCCCAGUUCCCUCUAGAAGAGACAGCCCCCCCCCCCCCCAAGAACCCGUUGCCCUCCAACCUCACCUCAUUUUCUCUUGAGCUCAUUCUCCGAGCUCUUAAAGUAGUAGGUGUGAGUCUUGGACCAUUUCUUUAAAAGAAACAACUAAGGAAAGGGAGGGAGGGAAGGAGGGAGGAGGGGAGCGGGAAGGAGAGCUACCUCCUGGACUAACGCGUCCAGGAACCACUCUCUAAGGAGCAAAAGAGAGCCUGUGUUGUAAAGUAGAAGUGAUUCCCCGACAUUGCUGCAGGGCGCCUUGCAACAGAUGUAACUGUCCACCGAAGAGACAGAGGGUGGGCAUGGGGAAGAUUUUUUUUUCCUCCCUUUUGUGAACAGCUCUUACACUUUUCCAAGACACAUUUAGUUCCUGGACAUUUUUGUGAAUUUGUUCUUGAUUGUGUUUUGAACAAUAAACUGUGAAAAUCAA
rnacentral:lncRNA from 1 species